UACGUAGGGGGCAAGCGUUGUCCGGAAUCAUUGGGCGUAAAGAGCGCGUAGGCGGUCCGGUAAGUCCGCUCUGAAAGUCCGGGGCUCAACCCCGGGAGGCGGGCGGAUACUGUCGGGCUAGAGUACGAAAGAGGAUCGCGGAAUUCCCGGUGUAGAGGUGAAAUUCGUAGAUAUCGGGAGGAACACCGGUGGCGAAGGCGGCGAUCUGGGUCGAUACUGACGCUGAGGUGCGAAAGCGUGGGGAGCAAACAGG
rnacentral:rRNA from 1 species